ACACAUAGCCUGGGACUUCUGUAAGAAUUCAUUUUAUAAAUUCAAAGUAAAUAAAGCAAACCUAAGAAAAAUUUUUUUAAUUCCUUGUUUUUUCCUAGUUAUAAAAAAAUGACAGCAGCCUCCAUUAAUCGCUUAACCUAUUGAUGUAACCAUAGUGGUCUCAUUGAUUUCCAAUUUUCAGGAAAACUGUUCCUGCUGGUGGAAGCCCAAAUCUAUUAAUUUAUUGUGUGUAUUCAAGGGAAGAAGAUGAGCCCAUUGAUCCAGCGGUGCACCAGUUGUUAAAUAUUUAAUGCUUAUUCCCAUAACUGAGCUUAUUUCAAGUUUGAAUAUUUUAUUUUUCUUUUUGUCUUUUUAGGGCCGCACCCAUGGCAUAUGGAGGUUCCCAGGUGACAGGUCUAAUUGGAGCCAUAGCUGCCGGCCUACACCAGAGGCAUAGCAACUCUGGAUCCAAGCCGUGUCUUCGACCUACACCACAGCUCACGGCCACGCUGGAUUCUUAACCCACUGAGUGAGGCCUAGGAUCGAACUGGCAACCUCAUGGUUCCUAGUUGGAUCCAUUUCCACUGCGCCACGAUGAGAACUCCAUCAAGUUUGAAUAUUGACAGUCACCCACAUGCAUGGACUAGUAUUACCUGUAGUACAUAACAUGUGUCCAGAAGCCUCCAGUUCAUUUCAUCUUUGUAGAUUGACUUACUUGUUGUGUAGAAGAUUUGCAACAUUAUUUUCCAGAUGGCUGUCCUGCAGUCCAGAUGUAAAUUUCAGUUACUCUUGAUGUCUUUUGGUGGAAGGAUUAUGUGGAGUACACUUGAUCUCUACUCUUCCUCAACAUUGAACAUUAUUAAAGCUUUAUUAAAUUCCCAAAUGUACUUGAGAAUUAUUGACCUUUAUAAUGAUCAUAACACCUUUGUCUUCUAGUGCUGUGUCUUACUAGAGGUACUUUGCUGCACCAAGAGAAAGAUUCUGCUUUCAGAUUUUCACCACAGCAAGAAAUAUUUUGCUCUAAGCCUCUAAGGUUAUAUUCACAUUUAAGUAUUUAAAUCUUGGCUUUUAUUUUGAGAUCCUUGGCGGUCUUUCCAGCCUCAGUCUUUAAAACCGUUGUCAUCUUUCCACCAUCAUAUAGCUUCUGGCUCCUUCAUGGGUAUUCAUAUACCCAGAAGUAGGGGAGAUUGUUCUCUUGGAAACUCAUGUCCUGUUGCACUGGUUCUGGUCAGCUCAUUUUGACUUCAAGAUCCUUUUUGUCCUGGUAUUGAUUCCUGCCUUUUACUCUUGGAUUUAACACUUGGCUUCUCUCUCUUGGACCUUUGAACCUCAUUUUUUCCCCCAGCAUUAACAGUGUUUCUUAGUGUUAACUUUUUUAAUUAUUAUUAUUAUUAUUUAAUUAUUAUUAUUAUUAUUAUUUUAUUUUUAGUAGUUAUUUCCCCAAUAUGAUUUUUUUUCCUACUGUACAGCAUGGUGACCCAGUUACAUGUACAUGUACGCAUUCUAUUUUUGUACAUUAUCUUGCUCCAUCAUAUGUGACUAGACAUAGUUCCCAGUGCUACAUAGCAGGAUCUCAUUGCUAAUCCAUUCCACAGGCCAGCUCUCUUUUUUUAAGCAAAGGUACUUUUCACCAAAGCUCCCUAGAAGACAUCUUCAUACUUUUCUUUGUUCUCAGUUGAGUCACGAGUUUGUUACCGACUCAGUCACUGACAAAGAAAGUGAGAUUCCCCUUACAUCAUCAAAGACACCUUCUGGGUCUAAAGAUAGGGUCAGCUUGCUUUGAGGGAGCAGGUACAUUUUCCAAGAUUAUGUGAACAACCUCAAUAACAUAGAACUUCCUCAGAGGCUGGUGUUAAAAUUAUUAAUGAGCAAUCCAUGCUCUUGGGAAAUGUGUCAUAUUGACAUCACUAUGAGAAAAGCAGCAAGAAACAGGUAUUCCUUGCUAACCCUUGGUAGGAUUUUCAAAAUCCUAAUUUUUGUAGAAUAAAGUUCGCUAUGGAAUUUUGACACUUGUCACAUGUAAAAUAAUGUUGAAUCUUCAUCAUCAAUUUUUCAAUUACAUAAUUCCAAUUUAAUAUCCUUGAGCAUUUCACAGUCUUUUUAAAAAACUUUUCUUAUUAUAGUUAAUUUACAUUGUUGUCAAUUUCUGUUGUACAGUAAAGUGACUCAGUCACAUAUCUAUACACAUUCUCUUUCUCAUAUUAUAUGUCAUCAUGUUCCAUCACAAGUGAUUGGACAUAGAUUCCUGUGAAGUACAGCAGGAACUCAGUGCCUAUCUAUUUGUAAUGUAACAGUUUGCAUCUAUUAACCCCAAACUCCCGACAUUUCACGAGCAAAUAUAAAUGCCUUUAUUUCACAGAUGUAACCAGAGACAGAAAGGUGAAGUGAUGGUACUGAAGAUGAUCUUCCUGACACUGACCCCACGCCUUUUCAUUAUAUCAUGUAUUAGAUAUCUGUUAUUUUCCUUGAUGUCCUAUCUCCUUAACUAGAGGAUAUUCUUUUUAAGGGAAAUGACAUAAUGCAAUAAAAAUUCAUAUUUUAAGGAAAUGACAUAAUGCAAUAAAAAUUCAUAUUUUAAGGCAAGACAAGAAAAAUUUAAACAUAAAAAAAUGCUUUCUGCCCAUUUCUCUGCCUCCUCCUCUCUAGUGUGCAUUGUACAUCUGCCUUAUGUGUUAACCAGACCUCCCCAAUGGCAGAAAUACCUGCUCAACCACAAAGUUCAUUUUUUUCUUCUUCUGACACCAACUGUGUAACUCCAUAGAAGAGAACAUUCCUUUCUCAAUUCUGUAAGAGGUCACGAUGGCCCACCACCCGUGCUGUAGGUACAGACAUCUUUGGUAAAUUUUAUGUACAAUGCUAAUAUAUUAUUUCCCUUAUAGGUAGAGUUUGAUAUGGAACUCAUUGGACUGCAUCUAGUGGAAGUUUUUCACGUAAAUACUUACCUCUAGUCUUAUUAAUGUUACUAGCUAUAUUGCUUGUAUCUGCCCAUUUUAUGAGAUGAUUAUUUUUUUUAGGGUCACACCCACAGUGUAUGGAGGUUCCCAGGCUAGGGGUUGAAUCGGAGAUGUAGCUGCUGGCCCACACCAGAGCCACAGCAAUGCCAGAUCCAAGCCAAGUCUUCAACCUGCGCCACAGCUCAUGGCAAAGCUGGAUCCUUAACCCACUGAGCCACCAGGGAUCAAACCUGCUUCCUCAUGGAUGUUAGUCAGAUUUGUUUCUGCUGAGCCAUGAUUGUUUCUUGCAUUACCAAAUGUGUGACUGAGCCUCUGAUAAAAAAUAAUGAUGAGUAGGUGACUUGAAAUGAUUAAGUAUACAGUUCUAUAAGAUUAAUGAUUGUAAUAGUGUAACUCUAGAUAUGAGAAGAAGCCAUAAGGAGGCCCCAUUUCUUGGAACAUAAUAGGCUAGUAAGACAGGUGGUCCAGAGGCUUGUGGUUACUAUUAAGAAGGCCCAGUCCAACAAUAGCACACUGAGUGAUCCAUCAAUGAAAUCCUCACCUGACCUGGGGAUGCAUACUCCUAGCACCAUGGGACAAACUGGUCAUGAAAUGCCCCCCAAACAGUCAUUGAAAUUAAGACUGAAAGGGAAGGGAUAGGAAAAUAAAGAAUGUUGUUGGACAUCUAGUUCUACAAGAAUCAAGUCAUUAGCCACUGUAUUCAUGACCUACAAUAUACCCUGAAAGGAAUUAGGGGUGAAGAUCAGGAUGAAGCACUUUGUGCUCUGGGAAAACUGGCAGAACUGGCCUUCAGAAUUAGGUAUUUUCAGGAGAAAAUUUUAUGAACCCAGUUUCUUGCAUCUUCUCAUACUUGAAAAAGCACUAAAACAAUUAACUAAGAUAUCUGCUUUUUUUUUUUUUUUUUUUUUUGAGAAUAGCAGUAGCCUUCUACCAGGAUGUGCACUCAAUUGCACAUAAAACCUUCACCAAAAUCACAUGCAUACUGGCCUCUCUACUUACCUUUUUAAAAUAGUCCUCAGGGCUUUCUGAAAGACCGACCCCCAGAUUACAAUCCUCAGGUUGGCUCAAAUAAAAUUCUGUGUUUCUUUCUUAGAUUGACUAUUAAUUUUUUGUAGACAGAUGUAUCUUUUAUGUAUUCUGAUGUCUAGUAUUUUAGGAUUCAGAAAAUGUUCAUUGAUUAUAAAUUCUCUGCUGAACUAAGGCAAGAUUAAAAAUCUUGCACUUGAGUCUUUUCUUGACAGUAAUAUACCUCUGGACAUUAAUCUCUGCCUGGGUCAGUUUUAGAGGGUGUUUAUUUAGAUCCAAGUAAGCCCAUUCUCCUGUGAAAUAAAAAAAAGGCAAUUUGGUACUUAAUUUCUUCUUUAUUUUUUGUGGAUACACCAUAGAGUUUCUCACAAAUUAGACUGUUAUUAUAAAGACAUGAAUCUGCUAACAUAUCUUAAACCAUAAAGAUUAUAAAGUAAGUCAAGGAUAUAUGUAAACAAAGCCAAAAUCCAAUCUGGCCAGAAG
rnacentral:lncRNA from 1 species